rnacentral:tRNA from 1 species
GCCUUCGUGGUGUAACGGUUAGCACACUCGGCGUGUACUCGAGAAUUGCAGGUUCGAAACCCGGCGAGGGCA